GGGAUUAUAGUUCAAUUGGCUAGAGCGCUGCCCUGUCAGGGCGGAAGUUGCGGAUUCGAGCCCCGUCAGUCCCA